rnacentral:rRNA from 1 species
AUUGAACGCUGGCGGCAGGCCUGACACAUGCAAGUCGAGCGGCAGCGGGAAAGUAGCUUGCUACUUUUGCCGGCGAGCGGCGGACGGGUGAGUAAUGCCUGGGAAAUUGCCCAGUCGAGGGGGAUAACAGUUGGAAACGACUGCUAAUACCGCAUACGCCCUACGGGGGAAAGCAGGGGACCUUCGGGCCUUGCGCGAUUGGAUAUGCCCAGGUGGGAUUAGCUAGUUGGUGAGGUAAUGGCUCACCAAGGCGACGAUCCCUAGCUGGUCUGAGAGGAUGAUCAGUCACACUGGAACUGAGACACGGUCCAGACUCCUACGGGAGGCAGCAGUGGGGAAUAUUGCACAAUGGGGGAAACCCUGAUGCAGCCAUGCCGCGUGUGUGAAGAAGGCCUUCGGGUUGUAAAGCACUUUCAGCGAGGAGGAAAGGUUGAUGCCUAAUACGUAUCAACUGUGACGUUACUCGCAGAAGAAGCACCGGCUAACUCCGUGCCAGCCGCCGCAGUAACAC